UACGUAGGGCGCGAGCGUUGUCCGGAAUCAUUGGGCGUAAAGAGCUCGUAGGCGGCCUGUCGCGUCUGCUGUGAAAUCCCGGGGCUCAACCCCGGGCGUGCAGUGGAUACGGGCUGGCUGGAGGCAGGCAGGGGAGAACGGAAUUCCCGGUGUAGCGGUGAAAUGCGCAGAUAUCGGGAGGAACACCGGUGGCGAAGGCGGGUCUCUGGACAGUUCCUGACGCUGAGGCACGAAGGUCAGGGGAGCAAACGGG
rnacentral:rRNA from 1 species